GUCGUCCAAGGAUAUUCUGGUAAUUUGUGGUUGUUUCUGGACUUCAGUCGUUUGCUCUUUUGAUCUACUCCAGCAUUUAGAAAUUGGUUAAUCGGUAAAGAUACAUGUACUUGAUGUCCUUCCCACGAAAGGGACCCAAGUCCUAGUAGCCCUGCUAAAUGGUGAUUCAACAUAGAUUCUACAUCUUGGAACCAAGCCAAUUUUGGAGCUGCUUUGUGAUAAUGGAACCAACCAGCAAAAAGCAUUAAGGCUGCGAAUACCAAUGCGCCAAUUGCGGUACAAUAAAGUUGUAAUUCACUAGUUAUUCCAGAUGCUCACCAAAGCUGAAAAAAACAAGAGGUUAUUUGUAUUCCUCGGAAGCCUCCGCCCACAUCUCCAUUCAGGAUUUCUUGGCCCACUAUUGGCCAAACCACCUGAGCACUAGGUCCAAUGUGAGUAGGAUCACUCAGCCAUGCUUCAUAAUUGGAAAAACGAGCACCGUGGAAAUACAUGCCACUCAGCCAAAGAAAGAUGAUAGAGAGUUGGCCAAAAUGGGCACUAAAUACUUUUCGAGAGAUUUCCUCCAAAUCACUGGUAUGACUAUCAAAAUCGUGAGCAUCAGCAUGUAGGUUCCAGAUCCAAGUGGUAGUAUCAGGUCCCUUAGCUAUUGUUCUUGACAAAUGACCGGGUUUAGCACAUUCCUCGAAAGAAGUUUUUAUGGGAUCCCUAUCUACCAAAAUUUUGACUUCUGGUUCCGGCAAACGAAUAAUCAUUGAGUCCUCCUCUUUCCGGACAACACAUACAAAGAAACCCGCCAACAGUCACUCAAAUAAUUAGUGAACCGAUGAUAGAUGCUUAGAAUUUUGUUCUCUUCUAUCUCCCAUCCAUUCAUCCAUUUUCUUUAGUUAUUCACUAGAGCAAUUAUGAUCUGGAAGUCGAUCUGGGGCAAGUGUUCGGAUCUAUUAUGACAUAUCCAUAGGGUGCUCAACGGACCCCCCCCCCCUUUUUUUUUUAUUAAAAAGCGUUUUCGCACCUUUACAUUAGUAUUGGUACACAAAUAAUUUUUUUUAUAACCUAAUCUAGUGUAUUCAUAUUUCAAUUAUAAGUUCCGAAAUAUAGCCUAUUUUUUAUGUUUUAAAUAGAGGAUAUUAUCCUAUUUCAAUAACCGCUUAUUAGUCAUUCUUAAGAAACAUUCUAGUAUUGAUAUUUAGUCAUUUUUAAAUCUCUUUUAUUCGUUUUAAUAGUCGAAAAGAAAAAAAUAGAAAAUGCUAGAUA